UCAUUAUAGAAUUACGAGCGAGGGUUGUCGCUGGCCUCUUUCGGGGGGCAUGUGCACGCCCGAGCUCUUGAAUCCACAACACACCUGUGAACCCACCGUGGGCCCACCUUCACGGGGGGGGGCUUACCUGUAUACACUCUGAAUGUCUCAUAGAAUGUCGAAUUGUUUGCCUUAAAAACGCAAUCGAAUACAACUUUCAACAACGGAUCUCUUGGCUCUCGCAUCGAUGAAGAACGCAGCGAAAUGCGAUAAGUAAUGUGAAUUGCAGAUUUUCAGUGAAUCAUCGAAUCUUUGAACGCACCUUGCGCUCCUUGGUAUUCCGAGGAGCAUGCCUGUUUGAGUGUCAUUUAAAUCAUCAACCUCCGUCGAUCUCUGAUCGGACGGAGGCAUGGACUUUGGAGCGUGCUGGCCUGAGGUCGGCUCCUCUUUAAAUGCAUCACCGGAAGUCCAUUGACGUUUCCCGUCGGUGAUAAUCCUGUACCCCCGUCAGGGUACUCGUUGGGGCUCGCUUAUAAUCGUCUUCGGACAACAUCCUUUUUGACCUC
rnacentral:rRNA from 1 species